rnacentral:rRNA from 1 species
UUGGAGGGCAAGUCUGGUGCCAGCAGCCGCGGUAAUUCCGGCUCCGAUAGCGUAUAUUAAAGUUGUUGCAGUUAAAAAGCUCGUAGUUGAAUUUCGGAAUCUGUCCGUCGGUCGGGCUUCACUGUCCGUACUGGUGUGAUGGGUUUCUACCUUCUGAAUAAUCGGCAUGUCAUUAAUUUGGUGCGCCGGGGAAGCAGAACUAUUACCUUGAAAAAAUUAGAGUGCUUAAAGCAGGCUAUCGCCUGAAUAGAUUAGCAUGGAAUAAUAAAAUAGGACGGCAUGGUUCUAUUUUGUUGGUUUCUAGGAUCACCGUAAUGAUUAAUAGGGAUAGUUGGGGGCAUUAGUAUUCAAUUGUCAGAGGUGAAAUUCUUGGAUUUAUUGAAGACUAACUUCUGCGAAAGCAUUUGCCAAGGAUGUUUUCAUUAAUCAAGAACGAAAGUUAGGGGAUCGAAGACGAUCAGAUACCGUCGUAGUCUUAACCAUAAACUAUGCCGACUAGGGAUCGGACGAUGUUAAUUUUUUAAUGACUCGUUCGGCGCCUUACGGGAAAC